rnacentral:piRNA from 1 species
UGGAUUCACUAGGUCAUCACCAAUGC